rnacentral:rRNA from 1 species
GAUGAACGCUAGCGGGAGGCCUAAUACAUGCAAGUCGAGCGGUAGAGUGACUUCGGUUGCUUGAGAGCGGCGAACGGGUGAGUAACGCGUACACAAUCUACCUUUAAGAGGGGAAUAGCCCUGGGAAACUGGGAUUAAUGCCCCAUGGCAUCACGAGACGGCAUCGUUUUGUGAUUAAAGCUGAGGUGCUUAGAGAUGAGUGUGCGUCUGAUUACCUAGUUGGUGCGGUAACGGCGCACCAAGGCGACGAUCAGUAGGGGGCGUGAGAGCGUGGACCCCCACACGGGUACUGAGACACGGACCCGACUCCUACGGGAGGCAGCAGUAAGGAAUAUUGGUCAAUGGAGGAAACUCUGAACCAGCCAUCCCGCGUGCAGGAAGAAUGCCCUAUGGGUUGUAAACUGCUUUUAUCUGGGAAGAAAAGUCGGGAUUUAUCCUGAUCUGACGGUACCAGAGGAAUAAGCACCGGCUAACUCCGUGCCAGCAGCCGCGGUAA